rnacentral:rRNA from 1 species
AAUAUUGCGCAAUGGCGAAAGCCUGACGCAGCAACGCCGUGUGAGGGAUGAAGGCUUUCGGGUCGUAAACCUCUGUCGGAAGGGAAGAACGGGCAUUGGUCUAAUAGGCCUUUGUUUUGACGGUACCUUUAGAGGAAGCACCGGCUAACUCCGUGCCAGCAGCCGCGGUAAUACGGAGGGUGCAAGCGUUAUUCGGAAUUACUGGGCGUAAAGCGCACGUAGGCGGCCUUGUAAGUCAGGGGUGAAAUCCCACGGCUCAACCGUGGAACUGCCUUUGAAACUGCAGGGCUUGAAUCCUGGAGAGGGUGGCGGAAUUCCUGGUGUAGGAGUGAAAUCCGUAGAUAUCAGGAGGAACACCGGUGGCGAAGGCGGCCACCUGGACAGGCAUUGACGCUGAGGUGCGAAAGUGUGGGGAGCAAACAGGAUUAGAUACCCUGGUAGUCCACACCGUAAACGAUGGAUACUAGGUGUCGGGGACUUGAUCUUCGGUGCCGUACGUAACGCGUUAAGUAUCCCGCCUGGGAGUACGUCCGCAAGGCUGAAACUCAAAGAAAUUGACGCGGGCCCGCACAAGCGCUGGAGUAUGUUGUUUAAUUCGA